AUGUCUAAGCCAGAGUCUCCCAAGGAGCCAGAACAGCUACGGAAGCUCUUCGCCAGAGGGCUGAAUUUUGAAACAACCAAAGAGAGUCUGAGGAACCAUUUUUUUUCCUUUUUUUUUUUUUUAAUUUAUUACGUAUUUUCCUCAAUGAAGGGGAACACUCCCCAACUGUGUGGUAAUGAGAGAGUCAAACUCCAAGAGAUCCAGGGUCUUUGGGUUUGUCACAUACACCACUGUGGAGGAUGUGGAUAUUGCUGUCAAUGCAAGACCACACAAGGUAGAUGGAAGAGUUGUGCAACCUAAGAGAGCUCUGUCAAGGAAUAUUCUCAGAGACCAGGUGCCCACUUCUAUGUGAAAAAGAUCAUUAUUGUUGGUUUUAAAGAUGACACUGAAGAACAUCACCUAUUAUUUUGAGUAGUAUGGGAAAAUUGAAGUGAUAGAAAUUAUGACUGACAGAGGCAGUUGAAAAAAGAGGGGCUUUGCUUUUGUCACCUUUGAUGAGCAUGACUCUGUGGAUAAGAUUGUUAUUCGGAACACUGUGAAUAGCCACAACUGUGAAGUAAGAAAGGCUGUGUCCAGCAAGAGAUGGAUAGUGUUUCAUCCAGCCAGAAACAUCGAAGUUAUUCCAGAAACUUUGGUGAGGUCAUGGAGGCGGUUUUUGUGGCAAUAACAAUUUUGGUUGAGGAGAGAAUGUCUGUGGUCAUGGUUGCUUUGGUGGCAACUGUAGUGGUGGUGGAUAUUGUGGAAGUGGGGAUGGUAAUAAUAAAUUUGGAAAUGAUGGAAGCAAAUUUGGAGGUGGUGGAAACGACAAUGAUUUUGGCAAUUAUAACAAUCAGUCUUCAAAUUUUGGACCAAUGAAGGGAGGAAACUUUGGAGGCAGGAGCUCUGGCCCUUAUGAUGGCAGAGGAAAAGUACUUUAAUAAACCAUUAAACCAAGGUGGCUAUGGAGAUUCCAGCAGCAGCAGUAGACAUGGAAGCAGCAGGAGGUUCUAA
rnacentral:lncRNA from 1 species